UUUCCUUGACCUCUAAAAAGAUUCAGAAUAAAGGCUGGAAAAAUGAGAGGAUAUCAUGAUGAAGAGAAUAAUGGGGGUGCUAAGUGGUAUGAUGACAUCCCAGAGUGUCACGUACAGCCUGGGAGUCCUUGAUGCACCAGCCACUUGUGACCCCCCCCAUCCCCACAUUUAUGCUGUAUCUGUGCAUAAUGCAUUUAUGAUGGUUCUAAGCCUCUUAUGGGAACACUGUGUACAUUUCCACCUCAGAGUAUAUUUCCAUGAAGGAGGCAGGCAGAGUCUUAUUAUCCCUCUUUGGAAUUUCUCCAUCAGGUAUGCCCCAUCUGCUGCUGGUAAACUUCCCCAUUCCAACCUUCAUGGUGCUGGAUUCCUGCACCUGCAGUAGUUCUUAGGUAAAAGACUUGUUUGCACAACAUGUCUGCGUUAGGAUGUGCAUACAUUUCUUGGCAGAGUGGGGUUGGGCGUAAGCAGGCAGGGGAGUCAGAGAACAGAAUGGAAAUGCAUUAACAAAGAGGGUCUUGUUAUGGGGUUCUGAAAAGGACAGGAUGGUGAUGGCUUUGGGGAAAACCAGAGAAAAAGUCCAUGGUCACAGAGAAAUGGGCAAUUAAUAUGAAGACAGGGGUCUUAGGUUGAGGAGGAGUGAAUUUGUUGAAGCCAUGUCUUGGGUUAAAAUCUAUUCACCAGGCCAAUCAAUUAGCUUAUUUUUUUGUCUCUUAGAUGUUAGCAUAAUAUAAACAACUUCAAUGCUAAAUACUACAAUUUUAGUUACUGAUGAUAAAAUAUGUGUUUCUAUAUAUCUAUUAAUCAAAACCAAAUUCUUUUUAAUGUUAAAACAUUUCUGUUAAAGUUCUUAAGCAAUCCUGUAAAACACUGCAGUCUGUUAGUUUGGCCAAUAUAACAUCUUGGUUAUUUGGUCAGUUGGUAUUAAUUGAACAGAUUUGUGGCCAAUGCCCCAGGCCCCGAGCAAAGCCAUUGUCUGGCAAACGUCGACAAUUGAGAUUGUAGGUAUACCGCCGUUUGCACAAGCCUAACCCUUCUUGAUCAAAGACAAAUCAAAAUCCCAAGGAGA
rnacentral:lncRNA from 1 species